AGUGAACGCUGGCGGUAGGCCUAACACAUGCAAGUCGAACGGCAGCACAGUAAGAGCUUGCUCUUACGGGUGGCGAGUGGCGGACGGGUGAGGAAUACAUCGGAAUCUACUUUUUCGUGGGGGAUAACGUAGGGAAACUUACUCUAAUACCGCAUACGACCUACGGGUGAAAGCAGGGGAUCUUCUGACCUUGCGCUAUUGAAUGAGCCGAUGUCGGAUUAGCUAGUUGGCGGGGUAAAGGCCCACCAAGGCGACGAUCCGUAGCUGGUCUGAGAGGAUGAUCAGCCACACUGGAACUGAGACACGGUACAGACUCCUACGGGAGGCAGCAGUGGGGAAUAUUGGACAAUGGGCGAAAGCCUGAUACAGCAAUACCGCGUGGGUGAAGAAGGCCUUCGGGUUGUAAAGCCAUUUUGUUGGGAAAGAAAAGCAGCAGGUUAAUACCCCGCUGUUAUGACGGUACCCAAAGAAUAAGCACCGGCUAACUUCGUG
rnacentral:rRNA from 1 species